rnacentral:lncRNA from 1 species
CAAGCCUGCAUUUUGCAUUUUAAGAAAUUUUCUGUUCUUCUUUCUUAUAAAAUCCUAUGGCAGACUCUUGACAGAAAGUGCUUUCACAAAAACUGACAAACUGUGUCUAAAUAGAAAGUUCACAGUUACAACAUCUGGCUUUGUUUGUAUUUCGUUGAGCUAAGUGGGAAGAUUCAACCACCCAAGGGGUUGUCUGCCUAGUCAGCAGGACUGCAGGAGCCAAAGGCAGAGAGAGGGAGGCAAGGUGUGAAGGAAGAGACACCCUGUCAAUCAGAGCACUGCACUGGAGAACAAGGACCUGGGAAGAGCGACUAUAGCACCGGGACAGCAUGAGGAAGUCUGGCGCAGUGAUUUCAGACAAGAAAAUGUCUAUCUUGACUGAACAUGCUUCACUGAACACUGGCGAGUGUUUGCUUGACUGAACACUGGUGAGUAAGAAAGCCAAUGUGAGAAGGUAGGUAGAAACUCUUGUGUUGUCUUGUUGUAAUCUGGUAAAAUGUGGCU